UGAAACUGGAAACUACGACAAAGCUAUAGAUUUAUCUCGAAAUUGCUCUGGAAAUUCGAGAACAAUUGUUAGGUCGAAACCAUGUUGAUGUCGCUGCGUCUUU